CCUUCCGUAGGGUGAACCUGCGGAAGGAUCAUUACGAAAUUCGGCGCGCUUCGGCGCUGCCUUAUUCACCCACCCUUUGUCUACGUGUACCUCUAUAGCUUCCUCGGCGGGCUCGCCCGCCGCCAGGAACCCACGAAACCCCUUGCAUGAUACACGAAAACUUCUGAUAACAAACCUAAAUUAUCACAACUUUCAACAAUGGAUCUCUUGGUUCUGGCAUCGAUGAAGAACGCAGCGAAAUGCGAUAAGUAGUGUGAAUUGCAGAAUUCAGUGAAUCAUCGAAUCUUUGAACGCACAUUGCGGCCAUAGGUAUUCCUUUGGCCAUGCCUGUUCGAGCGUCAUUUACACCCUCAAGCCUAGCUUGGUGUUGGGCGUCUGUCCCGCCGUUUUCGCGCGCGGACUCGCCUCAAAGUCAUUGGCGGCGGUCGUGCCGGCUCCUCGCGCAGCACAUUUGCGCUUCUCGGAGGCCCGGCGGAUCCGCGCUCCAGCAAAGACCUUUCAUGA
rnacentral:rRNA from 1 species